GGCCCUCUGGCGUAGUGGUAACGCUUCGUCCGAGUCUUCCCCAAGGUCUUUUCAAGUGAAGGUGCUGGUUCGACUCCGGCGGCGGCCU